UAGAUGAGUGCAAGAGUUUUACCUGAGGGGCU
rnacentral:piRNA from 1 species